GAUGAAGAACGUAGCGAAAUGCGAUAAGUAAUGUGAAUUGCAGAAUUCAGUGAAUCAUCGAAUCUUUGAACGCACAUUGCGCCCGCCAGUAUUCUGGCGGGCAUGCCUGUUCGAGCGUCAUUUCAACCAUCAAGCCCCCGGCUUGUGUUGGGGACCUGCGGCUGCCGCAGGCCCUGAAAACCAGUGGCGGGCUCGCUAGUCACUCCGAGCGUAGUAAUACAUCUCGCUCAGGGCGUGCUGCGGGUUCCGGCCGUUAAAAAGCCUUAUUUACCCAAGGUUGACCUCGGAUCAGGUAGGAAGACCCGCUGAACUUAAGCAUAUCAUAAGCCGGAGGA
rnacentral:misc_RNA from 1 species